GUGCUCACUUUGCAGCACAUGUACUGAAAUCGGAACUAUACAGCGAUUAGCACAGCCCCUGAACAAGGAUGACAUGCAAAUUCAUGAAGCAUUCUGUAUUUUA
ensembl:snRNA U6 U6 spliceosomal RNA